rnacentral:rRNA from 1 species
GACGAACGCUGGCGGCGUGCUUAACACAUGCAAGUCGAACGGAAAGGCCCUGCUUUUGUGGGGUGCUCGAGUGGCGAACGGGUGAGUAACACGUGAGUAACCUGCCCUUGACUUUGGGAUAACUUCAGGAAGCUGGGGCUAAUACCGGAUAGGAGCUCCUGCUGCAUGGUGGGGGUUGGAAAGUUUCGGCGGGUGGGGAUGGACUCGCGGCUUAUCAGCUUGUUGGUGGGGUAGUGGCUUACCAAGGCUUUGACGGGUAGCCGGCCUGAGAGGGUGACCGGCCACAUUGGGACUGAGAUACGGCCCAGACUCCUACGGGAGGCAGCAGUGGGGAAUAUUGCACAAUGGGCGGAAGCCUGAUGCAGCAACGCCGCGUGCGGGAUGACGGCCUUCGGGUUGUAAACCGCUUUCGCCUGUGACGAAGCGUGAGUGACGGUAAUGGGUAAAGAAGCACCGGCUAACUACGUG